rnacentral:lncRNA from 1 species
AAUUUAUAGUUUUUACUUGGAUUUUAUUGUGUGGCGUCCUUGUUUCUUCCACAAAAAGCCAAUGUCUGCCAUCGGUAUCUAUUAGUACAGAUGAGUGUUUGGUUGCGUAAAUCUAUUGCCUAGUUUUAAUUGAGGCUCUACUCGAAUGAACAGUACUUGUGACUUUAUUUUACUUUUAUGUCUUGUAUUAGGUAUUUACCUUUUAAAGCAGAAGUGCGAAUUGAAAAUUUGAUAAUUUUCUUUUAAAGUAGAAGUGCAAAUUGAAAAUCUGAUGAUGAUUUUUCUGUAGGAUGACUGACUGCAUCAAACAGCCUGUGGCACACCAAAUUAUGUAGCACCCAUGGUACUUGGGUUAUAGUUCAAGAAGAGUAAAGUUGGCUCUUCAUUUCAAAGUAAGUGAGAUAUAUUUUUCCCUUCAGGUGCUCACCAAUAAAGGCUAUGAUGGCACUUCAUCAACAAAUAUACGGUGUAGUCUGGUUUUUACUAUAUUUGACCUAGUCUCAGGUUCCUCUCUAUAUAAAUAAACAUAUGACCGUGUUUAGUUCGAUAUUUCUUUCUUCGCUAAUGGGAGUUGUAUCCUGUAAUAAAUUAUUUUUUGAAUUAGAUCUUAAAUGAGAUGGCAAAUUAGAGUAAACAAAAAAGUAUAAUUUUGAGUGUUCAUUUAAUUUCUAGAUAUUGAUUAAUUAAUCAAUUACAGGUUCACAUAUGUUCUAUAUAAUUUUGAGGGUCUGGUUGAUCUUUGUUUCCUUUCGUCUAGCACCUGGUCUGCCUGGUCUGCCUGCUGCUGGUGCUUUGGCUGUUGGUUUUGGAGAUUUGGACUUUGGGGGGGUGGUCUGGCUGCUUGUUUUGGCUGUCGGGUUCUUGCUGCUCGUUGUUUCGUCCGGACUUGCUGGCGUGCGUCUCUGGCUGUUGGAGGGUGGAGUUGCAUACAAGGUUGGGUGUUGUGUUUUUGGCGGCUGGCGUCUUCUUCAUGGCGAUGGAUGACUUUAGUGUUCGACACCCUUUGCUUCAUGUUGGUUUGUUUUCUCUUUUCAUGGUUUUUUUUCCUCUUUUUUAUGUUUUUCUAGUCCGUCUCGGGUGGUUUUGAGCCGGGAUUGUUUAGGGGCGAUGGUUAGGCCGGAGUCCCUGAAACUUUCCUUUCCGCUCUUCCACCUUCUUUAGUUUCGUUUAUGUUUCUUAGACGAGCACUCUUUUUCAUUUUUGCGGUUUUUGCCUUUGGAUUUUCUGUAAAAAGGUUUUAAUGACGCUUGGCCCUUAGUCUGCUUUUCAUGUGCUUUCAAGGGUUUUUAGGUUUUUUCUUUCUUUUUCUCUUUUAUAUGUAAUCGCAUUUUAAUAAAUGUUCUAUAUGAUUUCUCGAGUGCAAAGGCUUACAUUUCACAAUUAUGAUAUGUC